CCGACAGCUGAAGACGGCCGGAGAACACGAGUGAGGAACAGAGAAAGCGCGAGAGGCGGGACGACUCGGAGAGGGAAACAGAUAAAAGAAACAGGAGAGGAGGGGGCGCUCGGAGGAACGGAAAGCGGGCGGCCUGGGGGUCCGGCGGAGGGAGUGGAGCCGGGAGGCACUAGGGCCGGCGGAGAGGGGACUGACUUAUCAAAGGCAAUAGCAGAGAAGUCUCGGUGGAGCCACAGCCCGGGUGCACAGAUAAACGCAGAAAACCAACCGGAAGGCGGAAACAGGCGGGCGAAAAACACGGGCUGCCCGACCACGGCCGAAAACUCAAAGGAGAGAUGGUUACACUGCAUCGCCAGCUUGCCUCAUCUGAAUCCCUGACUCCUGACCUCCCCUGAGGAAGGUGCUCACUGUCAGAAGAACCCCCAGCAUCCUACCGCCACAGAAAGGUGAUUCUUUUAAAGCGGAAGAAACGGAUGAGGGAGCGAGGGGGCUGCGUGAGGCAGGCAGACGGGGAGGGGAGCUGUCGCUUGUGUCAGGUUAACCUCAGAGACGCGUUCGGAGCUCAGCAUCUGGGAGAUGGAGGGGACGCACGCCGCUCCAUUUGGCGCAAGUGAGUUCUUGCAUUACGCAUCCGCCUAUGGCUUUCAUCAGCUGUCUGCCUUUCUUUCUUUCUUUCUUUUAUUUUCUUUCUUUCUUUCUUUCUUCCAUCUUUCUAUUUUUAUCCUAUUCUUACAUUUCUUACUUUUUAUUCCUUUAUUUUUAUUAUUUCUUUCCUCUAAUUUCUUCUUACAUUCUUUUAACUGACUUAUCAAAUUGUAUAUCAUUUUUAAAGUGACUUUCCACCUUCCUUCUUUCUUUCCUCCACCCCUUUCCUCCCCUAAAAUAAAAAAAUAACAAUGACACCAAAAUUUGUGCACUGUCAGUCCCGUGGGCUGUGUUUAUUCCCAGAUUUAUGUUGGUAGCGUUGCUGUAUUAAGUGUUACACACAGAGAGAAAGAGAGAGAGCUGUGCGUGCAGAAAGGAAGGAGAUGAAACUGAUGUUUCUGCAACACAUGUGUUAAGUCACUCCACACACCACAAUAACACCUGAACUUACGGCAGCUGGCACCGCUAAACAUGCUCUCUCUCUCAGUCCAUGGCAGCAACAUAUAGCAACCUACUGUAGCAAGUCGUAGGUCUUUAAGGUAACCAAUUAUGUCUUAAACUUGCCAAAAUUAUAAAUUCAAAAAAUGAUAUAUUUGUGUGUUUUUUGUAUUUAUAAAAAUGGUAAUACAAACCAGUUCUUGUUAUUAUGGCAGUUUGUGAAAAAGUAUAGUUUGAAAAUAAUUCUGUCUUAGAAAAAUGAAUGCCAUUGUCUGGCAGUAUUUGUUAACGGACGCGUGCAGGUCUGUGCUAAAUGAUCAUUAUUUCUCAUAAGUCCUGAAUUUCUUUAGAUUUAUUUUCCUGUGUUUUUACACUUGAUCACAAACCUCAUGAUUUGGGUAGCAACACAACAAAUCUCCUAGGUUUAGAAAAAAGGGGUAAAUGAUUACGUAAAAAAAAUUAACAGAUGGGCCUGCCUAAAAAAAUAUGAUUUUCUACAAAUGAUUGCAUUCUCUCCCCUUUGGUGUGAAAAGUAGACUCAAGAACACUUUUAAAUAAUUUGUUCAAUUUGUUCCACAGCCAAAGAAAAGCGGCUUGGUGGAAAUUCAGAUUCAUUAAAACUUAAUUAAUAUGCAUCAUUAUGUAAAUGAGGUUGCAGUUAAUGAGUUCUUAAAAGAAGCCUUCCUUAAUUAGUUCACUUUUUAAUGGCAUCAUCAUUUAUCUUUUUUCUUUGAAGCAGAGUGACGCGGGGAACUAGCCGUUCCCGAAAGUGCUCGAAUUUUCCAUUUUUUAAUUAUUCUUAUUUCCUUAAUUUUUAUAUGAUUAAGAAUGCAUUUAGGGAAGUAAAUAAAUGAGGAAAACUUAGACCUUUUUUUCAGACUCGCUUGUUUCCAUUAAAACAGAGUCUCUGUAGAUGGCACAGUGUUUAAAAAGUUAAAGGGAAAGCAUCUUCUUACAAAACAAUCAAGGCUGUCUCACAAUUACCUCCUCGGCUUCUGCGACUAGCUUCAUUUCCACUAAAUCUGAGCAGCCUCUUAAUUGCUCUCUCCAGUUGGUCUGCAGUAUAUAUUACACACUCCUUCACUUUUUCUAUGGAGCCUGAGAUUCAUGUUGCAAAUGUGUGGUCAUUUCCUCGUGUAUUCAUUUACUCGUUUAUUUGUUUACAUAUUCAUCACUCGUUUUUUUUGUAAAUAAUUUACGUCAGCUGUACUUUAUGAAAACGUGCUAAUGAAACGAAUUAGUAAAAUAUCUAGCUUUUAGAUUAACACAUCUGAUGGACUUGAUGUGCUGAAUAUAUAAUUUUUUCGAACAUUUAUUAUUUAAUUUCUCCACUAAAAAAGUGGAGUGAAGAUCAGGUUCCUGCGCACACACACAAAAAAACUGUUACGUAGCCUAUAAUAAAACCGUGGAAAAAUGUGUCGUGUGAACGUAAAGCUGUCAUGAACGGUAUCAUCACACAUGCUCACAGACUGCAUAAAGUCUACGAUUUGAAGGUAGCGUACACUGUUUUUCUAAAUGUGUGUGUGUUCGUAGGUAGAAAGCGUGUGUGAGGUGCGCGUGGAAGGAGGGAAAACUGUGUUUUAUGUUCUUGUUCACUAACCAUCACUGUGUUCCUAAUUGAUAACCACUGGCAUUUGAUCAGGCAGCCUUCAAACAAGAAAUCUAUCUUUGUAUUUUGUAUAAGAACACCAUCUGUUGUUGCACAGAUCUACAUUCAUUAAAUUUAAUUUCUCAACCCAGGAAUAAGAUUUUAAUUGUCCAUUGUUACUGAGGAUUUUAGCCCUCCGUGGUAUUUUUUUCUUUCUGGGUAUUUUUUUGUUGGUUUGGUUGGUGUUUGUUUAUUUUCUGAUUCUUGUUGAUGUGACUGUCAAUUCUUAUGAAUUGAAAUUGACAGGUGAAAUGAAAUGUAAAUAUACACAGUGUAUAAAACCAGUAAAUUUGAGCCAGUAAAAGUUUAUAUUCUUUGUUUGGAGCUGUCUCGCAGAAUAGCAACCAGUUACACGUGAAAUAUGUAGCUGUUAGCUGUUUUCUUAAUCGUAUGUGUUUCAGAUCUUGUCCUCUGUGAGGAAGCAAAUGACAAAUUAGUGUAUUUGGACACAUUUCUCGCAGGUUGUUAUUGGACGUUUUGAGCAGUAAAUGGUUUGGCAUUUGGUGUUCUGCGAGGAGAGACAGUGGGCAUGUGUUAACUACACACAGGACACUCGAGCGAAAAGCAGACGCCCACCGAAUUCUUCAAGCUGUCAUUUCCUUUCACGGCUCCAAAACAAGAUGAAAAUAAAAGCAGCACAAAACAGUCUUUGAAAUAAUGCUGUUCACAGUUAAGUUCAUUUCUUGGUUGCCUUCACUUGGAAACAUGUUGCUGUGAACAUAUUGUUUAGAAGGUUGAAAUGAUAGUUGUAUUCGCCAUGAAUGUUUAGCUAAUAUGCGCACAAUCAAAAAAUUCUGAAAUGUUUUCAUUUCAAAGUUGUAUCUAGCUUGCUUAUAUAUACAGUAAUUUAUUUAUUUAUUGUUUCAUGAUAUGUUGUAUAUUUAAUUCGUCUUAAAUUAAAACACCAAUCAAAAAGUGUAACAUUUACAAUAAAAUAAUAUACAAAUCAAAGGCAUCCAGAACAGUUUUUAAACUUCAAGUUAAUCUUUCUUUGUAAGAUUGUUGACAUGUCGAAUACAGAUUUUAAUUAAUGAAACAAAAACACAUUAGUAAAUAAUAACAUUAACUCUUUUAUUUAUGGAUAAUAAAAUAAAAUGUACAGUGUACAUAACAUAUUUGAAUCUUAAUCUGCCUAAAAGUCAAGAACCAAGAAGAAAAAAAUCAUUUUCUUCCCCCCCUGAAAUCAAACCCAUGUAUAUUAAUUUUAUGUUUUCA